rnacentral:rRNA from 1 species
AUCGCCAGGGAACUACGAGCCCAUACUUAAAACCCAAAGGACUUGGCGGUGCCCCACUCACUCUAGAGGAGCCUGUGCUACAAUCGAUUAUGCCCGCUAAACCUGACUGCUUUUUGAUUAUUCAGCUUGUAUACCUCCGUCGUAAGCUCACCAUGUUGAAUUGUUGUACAGUGAGCCUAAAGGCUUUACUCUCCAAUACGUCAGGUCAAGGUGCAGCCCACAAAGCAGAUAGUAAUGGGCUACAAUUUCUAAGAUAGAACCCACGAAAGACCGCAUGAAACACGGUUGCGAAGAAGGAUUUAGAAGUAAAAAGAAAAUAGAUUGUUCUUUUUAACCACGUGCUGGGGCGCGUACAAACCGCCCGUCACCCUCUUCGACCAAACCUAAUUGAUCAAUAACCCAACAAUUUAACCAAGAA